CACCGGCGGCUCGAGUGGUGGCCACUUUUAUUGGGUCUAAAGCGUCCGUAGCCGGCUUGGCAAGUCCCCUGGGAAAUCUGGCGGCUUAACCGUCAGGCGUCCAGAGGAUACUGCCAGGCUUGGGACCGGGAGAGGUGAGAGGUACCUCAGGGGUAGGGGUGAAAUCUUGUGAUCCCUGAGGGACCACCGGUGGCGAAGGCGUCUCACUAGAACGGGUCCGACGGUCAGGGACGAAAGCUGGGGGCACGAACCGG
rnacentral:rRNA from 1 species